CCGAGGGUGCCGGGCUAUUAUAAAACGGCUGUGGACAUAUCACUUACUAUCAGUUUCUGUGCAGCAAGACCUGAGCUCUUACAAUGGCUUACAUGAAGGCUCUUUUUCUCCUUUUCGCUCUAUUUCGCCCUGACCCACGCCCAGGAGGCUACUAGGGAAAAGAAGCAGAUCUACGGAGCUUACCCUGCUGUCACAGCUUACUCCGCCGGCGCCGCCUACCCUUACGCCUACAACGCACUCAACGCCUACGCUGGAUACCCUUACUCUGCCUACCCCGCCGCCGUCGCUGCCCCUGCCGUCGCCGCCCCGCCUUCUACUACUGAUAACGGACAAUCUACCAAAUACCUGAUACACUUCUUCAAUUGCCAUACAUUAUCUUUUGUAAUGACUUGUUUCCUGCAUCAAUAAAUAAAAUGUCAGUUUAAGGAUA